UCGCUUACAGAUGGGCCCGCGGUGCAUUAGCUAGUUGGUAGGGUAAUGGCCUACCAAGGCAACGAUGCAUAGCCGACCUGAGAGGGUGAUCGGCCACACUGGGACUGAGACACGGCCCAGACUCCUACGGGAGGCAGCAGUAGGGAAUCUUCCGCAAUGGACGAAAGUCUGACGGAGCAACGCCGCGUGUAUGAAGAAGGUUUUCGGAUCGUAAAGUACUGUUGUUAGAGAAGAACAAGGAUAAGAGUAACUGCUUGUCCCUUGACGGUAUCUAACCAGAAAGCCACGGCUAACUACGUGCCAGCAGCCGCGGUAAUACGUAGGUGGCAAGCGUUGUCCGGAUUUAUUGGGCGUAAAGCGCGCGCAGGCGGUCUUUUAAGUCUGAUGUGAAAGCCCCCGGCUUAACCGGGGAGGGUCAUUGGAAACUGGAAGACUGGAGUGCAGAAGAGGAGAGUGGAAUUCCACGUGUAGCGGUGAAAUGCGUAGAUAUGUGGAGGAACACCAGUGGCGAAGGCGACUCUCUGGUCUGUAACUGACGCUGAGGCGCGAAAGCGUGGGGAGCAAACAGGAUU
rnacentral:rRNA from 1 species